rnacentral:misc_RNA from 1 species
CUUUGUCAGAAGAUGAAAUUUCCGGAUUUGCGAAACUUGGGCAAGUUGCUCGUUGGCCGUAUCGAUCUCCGACUGGAUCAACUCGCGAAGACUGUCGUUCUCUGUGAGGUUCUUGAAAUUUGUGUAGGCGACGCCCUUUUCCUUCCCGGCAAGAUCAUAGUCGAUCUGUAUCAGCGCUGAGACAUACUUGCGCGCGUCACCGA